GCCUAAACCCAUCCAACGCUAGCCUCUCACACCUACGGACCGGGGCAUCCAUGCCCCUCCUCUUCACGUGUCCGAACCAUCUCAAUCGGGCUUCUCGCAUCUUGCACUCCACUGAAGUCACACCAACCUUCUCCCGGAUAGUCUCAUUCUGAACUCUAUCCCCUCUAGUCAGCCCACACAUCCAGCGUAACAUCCGCAUUUCUGCCACCUUCAUUUUUUGGAUGUGGGAGUUCUUAACUGGCCAACACUCCGCUCCAUACAACAAGGCCAGACGGACUACCACCCUGU
rnacentral:lncRNA from 1 species